UACGUAGGGGGCAAGCGUUGUCCGGAUUCAUUGGGCGUAAAGGGUGCGUAGGCGGCGCGGUAAGUCGGGUGUGAAAUCUUGGAGCUUAACUCCGAAACUGCAUUCGAUACUGCCGUGCUUGAGGACUGGAGAGGAGACUGGAAUUCAUGGUGUAGCAGUGAAAUGCGUAGAGAUCAUGAGGAAGACCAGUGGCGAAGGCGGGUCUCUGGACAGUUCCUGACACUGAGGCACGAAGGCCCAGGGGAGCAAAACGGG
rnacentral:rRNA from 1 species